rnacentral:tRNA from 1 species
GCCGGAGUGGCGGAAUGGCAGACGCGCAAGGUUUAGGACCUUGUAACGAAAGUUGUGGGGGUUCAACUCCCCCCUCCGGCACCA